CCUACGGGUGGCAGCAGUGAGGAAUAUUGGUCAAUGGACGGAAGUCUGAACCAGCCAUGCCGCGUGCAGGAUGACGGCUCUCUGAGUUGUAAACUGCUUUUGUACGAGAAUAAUAGUUCUUACGUGUAGGGAUUUGAAUUGAUCGUACGAAUAAGGAUCGGCUAACUCAGGGCCAUCAGCCGCGGUACUACGGAGGAUUCGAGCGUUAUCCGGAUUUAUUGGGUUUAAAGGGUGCGUAGGCUGUUGGGUAAGUUAGAGGUCAAAUGUCGGGGCAUAACCCCGGGCCUGCCUCUGAUACUGUGCGACUAGAGAGCGGAUGCAGCAGGCGGAAUGAGUAGUGUAGCGGUGAAAUGCUUAGAUAU
rnacentral:rRNA from 1 species